CAGUAGCCGCGGUAAUACGAAGGGUGCAAGCGUUACUCGGAAUUACUGGGCGUAAAGCGUGCGUAGGUGGUGGUUUAAGUCCGUUGUGAAAGCCCUGGGCUCAACCUGGGAAUUGCAGUGGAUACUGGGUCACUAGAGUGUGGUAGAGGAUAGUGGAAUUUCCGGUGUAGCAGUGAAAUGCGUAGAGAUCGGAAGGAACAUCUGUGGCGAAGGCGACUAUCUGGGCCAACACUGACACUGAGGCAUGAAAGCGUGGGGAGCAAACAGGAUUAGAUACCCCAGUAGUCCCUGUCUCUUAUAC
rnacentral:rRNA from 1 species